GUUUCUUAAAUUUUUUCCUUAGAUUAUGAUCUCAGAUGUACUUGCAUUAUGCAUCGCUUCUGAAAUUGCAUCUUCUUUUUCUCAUUUUAGUUUCUUGAUUUCCUUUCAGUUAAAACGUCACAAAAAGCUCUAUGAAGGUUAUGUCCCCAUGAAGUACAAAAGCUACACGAAGAAGAUGAAAAAUUCAGAUACCUAGACUUUGGGUAACAGUUUUCUCCUCAUUUGACGGGGUAAUUUUCAUUGACAUGAUUUUAAUUUCAUCAGGCUGGGGGAGUGGGAGAUCACGUUAUUCUACAAGCAGCUGCAGACCAAGUAAGUUAAAAAUUUUGAUCAUAAAUAUUCUAAUGCUCAAAGCUCAAAGUAUCUCUUUUUCCUCAUACUUUAUUGCAACUUAGUAUGUUCAUGUUAGUAGAUACAAAUAGGUUUCAUAAGAGUGAUACGGUCUCAGUAGAACAUGUUAGAGGGAGAUGUAGAUUGUUUAAGGAUUUUAACUUUUUUUGGAUUUUCCAGUAGUUCUAGCUAUGUAUUGAACGGAGCGGCGAAAAAGGAUGUAGUCAACUCAAAUCUAUUGGGAAUAAGGCUUAGUUUGUUGUUAUCUGUAUAUUGUUCAUCUCACUUGGAAUAUAUAAGGAAUGUCCUGUCUGUUUUUAAGGAUGUAAAUUAGGAAAGACAAGCCAAGCUGAGUGCUAGGGUGUCCAAUGUUUUGAUUUCUUAUCAAAUUAAAUAUUUUUUUUUAACCUUGGUUUAUUUAUAACAAGCCAAUUAGAGGCAAGCUCGAAUAUUUCUUGCACAUCUAUUUAACUUGUAUGACUUGGCAGGACAAGCUAAAUGAAUUGGCUAGCCUAAAAUCUUGAAUAAGCACGAUUUGUCAUUUUGUGAACUAAUCUAUAUCUAGCUCUUAAUGAACAAAUAUUUAGGAGUUGAAAAGCAUCCAUUAAGUGCCUAAUGUUAUGAACAUUUGUUGGAAAUAUUGGCACACAUAUGACAAACGCACUAUUGAAUUUACUCUUCCAAGUUAGACAAUAUUAGUACUGCAUUAUUUUAGCAUCAUUGUCUGUUAUUUUUUGUCACUAAAUUGAUCUAUGCUUUUUUGUGUACCAUCUUAUAUUGGCACCUGAUUAUUUUGAACUUUCUAUAGUUUGAAGCAAAAAUUGCUAUAUUGAAAUCCUUCCUAAGGAAAAAAUCCAUCCAGAUGCAUGCAUAGUGUAUUCUUUAAUCUUGUUUUUACAUUUCUUCUUCUUCUUCAAUGCUAUUUUUUUUUCUCUUACGAUUUUUAUGACGUUCGACUGAAGAAGGAAAAAAAAUGAAAGGUGUAGAAAUCCCAAGAAUCAUGGGAUUAAAUGUGUUGUAUACCUUAUUUGAUUCAGGCAAGUUUAUUUUUCAUUUUUCAGGAGAUUAUAUUCCUUCUUUAUACCACAUUCUUGUAUUAUAAAUAGGAUCCCAUAAUAGUGUCUCAAUCAUCAAUAAAUAAAACAGAAAUUUCCUAACUGCUCUAUUUACAUGGUAUCGAUUUGAACUUUGACGAGGAAUGGGGCUGUGCAGAUAACGGCGUUCAGUAUAGGAGGAAGCUAGAACAUGAACAGGUUUAUGAAUUUGUGGCUGGACUCAAUAACGACCUUGACGAUGUGAGGGGAAGGAUCCUCCAUCGCUACCCUCUGUCGUCGAUGCGAGAGGUGUUUUUGGAGGUGCGGAGAGAAGAAAACUGGCGACUCAUGACGCUUAAGGAUAAGAUAAUUGGGCUAGAAGACGCUUAAGCCCUUUUGUCUAAUGAAAUUGGGCCUAAUGGGUUAGCUCAAUUUAAACAAAGUGGUAUUCAAGAAAUGGGCCAGCUUCAUGGGUCUACAGCAAUUGGAUCAAAGUAAUUGGGCCUUAAUGGAUCUGCUUUAAUAUCUAGAGGACCAAUUGUAAAUAAGCGAAGCCCAAAACGACAAAGAGAACGUCCAUGGGUGACCAUUGUCGUAAAUCGGGGCACAAAGAAGAUAAUUGUUGGGAUAUACACAAAACCAAUUGAUAGAAAAUCAAGACAAAACACAAAAAAUUGUGACUGUCAAGCAUCGGUUGAUUCUACUGAGAUAAAAAAUAACUCCACUUCAAGCGGUGUGCUUAAUGCAGAGCAAUUGGAACAACUCUACAAAAUGUUCUCUAGACUCCGAACUUCUGGACCAUUAAGUUCUCUAGCCCGCAAAGAUAAUUUUUUUUAGAGUACUAAAUACCAUUGCACAGUCUGAUUCUCCUUGGAUUAUUGACUCCGAAGCAUCCGACCACAUGACAUACUAUUUCCUCCUUUUUUCAUCAUAUUCAUUGUGUGCUAACAAUAUUAUAGUGAAAAUUGCAUAUAACUUAUUUUCAACGAUGGAGGGAAAAUGGAGUAUUCGAAUUUCUAACUAUAUAACAUUAGAGUACGUUUUUCAUGUUCCAAAUCUAUUCUGCAAUUUAUUGUAAAUUAGCAGGUUAACAAAAAGCUCCAAUUUUUGCUAUAUUCCUCCAUUCUCGUUGGUUUUUCAAGAUCUAUUUUUGGGAAAGACGAUUGGUAGUGUUAAAGAGUGUGAGGGACUCUACUACUUUGAUGAAGUCAAUGUGAGUAAACAUUAUCAAAUUUCAAAUUGUGGUUUUGCAUUUGUCCCCAAGGAUAACGAAAUUAUGCUAUGGGAUUUUAGAAUUGCUCAUUUUAACUUUCAGCACCUAAAAUGUGUUUAUCCUUCCAUUUUCAUAUAAAACGUCUAUUGAUCUUAAAUUUAUGAGUUGGCAAAACAUCAACAUUUCCCGUUCCCAAGAUCUACGUACAAACCAUACAAACCAUUCAUUGUAAUCUAUAGUGAUCUAUGGGGUCCUUUACGAACCACUAAUUGCACUUACAAAAAUUGGUUAGUGACAUUUAUUGACGACCAUACUCGCAUUUUUUUUGGUUUUAUGUACUAAAAGAAAAAAAUCGAAGUCGAAUCUAUAUUCAUCAACUUCCACUCUAUGGUGCAAACUCAAUACCAAACAAAUAUUCAAAUUCUAUGCAUUGAUAAUGGCACAAAAUACUUUAAUGCCACUCUCUGAGACUACCUUCAAGAACAUGAAAUAAUUUACCAAAGUUUUUGUGUUGACAUCCGCAACAAAAUGGGGUUUUUUCAAAUGAAGAAACAUGCACCUUCUAGAAGUUGGUCAUGUUUUGAUGUUUACCAUAAAUGUGCCCAAACUAUUCUGGGGAGGUGCCACUUUAACAUCCACUUAUCUCAUAAAUACGAUGCCUAGUCGUACUCCCUUGUUUGAUUCUCCUCUCAAAAAAAUUUAGAAUUACUUCCCUAAUUCGUGCCUCGAUUUUAACUUAUCUCUCAAAGUGUUUAUAUGUACUGCUUUUAUCCAUGUGUAUCCCCAUCGUCGAAGUAAACUCGAUCCACAUUCAUCUAAGUGUGUCUUUAUUUGAUAUUCACCAACUCAAAAAGAUUACAAAUGCUAUGAUCCGUCCACAAAAAAUGUGUUUGUCAGCCUUGAUAUCACAUUCUUUGAAAAGACAUCUGAUUUCAACAAACCCUCUCUUUAGGGAGAGAAUGUGAGUGAAGGUCGUUUUUUGGACUUUGAUCUCUCUUCUCUUUCUCAUUCGGAACCCGUCACACCAUCUAACAUGCCAUUUACAUAAGGAAAUUCGAAAUCAAAGGGAGACGUAGAAAAAAAAAAUGAUAAGGAGAUAUUAGUUUACUCAAAAAAGUCAAAAUCAAAGUACAAGGAGAAUCUCAUUCUUGAAGCACCAUGAGAGUUGGAACCAAUGGUAGCUCCAGAUGUCCAUAAGGACACGUUUGAGAGUGAUCUAUCUACCUUUGAGAGUGAUCUAUCACUUACCUUAAUAAAUAGACUCGAUCAUGUAUUGUGCACACUAUCUCAAAAUUCGCAUCUUAUAAUGCUUUGUCUACAAAAUUUCUUGCUUUUUCCUCUAACCUUGAUAGUAAAAAAUUCGCAUCUUCAAAAUUCGACUUCUCUUAUCUCUAACAGCUAACUUGGAUUGGCCCCUUCAACAACUUGACAUUAAAAAUUCAUCCAUCAAUGGGGAAUCUGAAGAGGAAAUCUUCAUGACAUUACCACUGAGUUUUUGUAGAAGAAAUGAAAAGAACAAGGUUUGUAAACUAAAAUAUUCUGUAUACGACCUUAAAUAGUUACCAAGAGCAUGGUUCGAUAGAUUUGCAAAAGUGUUGAAAUGUUAAGGAUAUCAAUAAGGACAAUCAGGUCAUACUAUAUUCUUCCAAAUAUCUGAAGAUGGCAAGAAGACAAUUUUAAUUGUAUAUGUCGAUGACAUAAUUCUAAUUGGAGACAAUACAGUGGAAAUGGAAAGAUUGAAGAUAAGCCUAGCUACAGGGUUCGAAGUGAAAGAUCUGGGACAAAUGUGAUACUUCUUGGGAAUGGAAUUUGCUAGGGGCUUGUUUGAGCCACAUUAUUUUAAAAAAAAAUACAUUUUUCAACAGUGAUUUGAUAUAAUUUUAACCAUACAUUCUUCAAUAAAAUAAUAGUACACGUAAAUUUAAAACAUUUCAUAAUUUUUGACCACAUAUUUUUUAUUGAUUUGACAUGAAUAAUGUAUUUUUCCUAGAAUGUGGCUCAAACAUGGGCUAGAUAAAAAAGAGAAUUAGUAUUUCUCAAAGGAAAUAUGUGCUUGAUGUCCUAAUUGAAAUUGGCAUGCUAGGAUGCAAACCAAGUGACACCUAUAAAUGGAGGAAGAAAAUUAUAGGACGGUGAAAAACCAGUUGAAAAGGAUCAUUAUCAAAGUCUAGUACAAACCAAACUUUGCAUUUGCAAUUAGUGUGGUAAUUCAACAUAUGUAUUCUCCAAAGGAAGCAUACUUAGAAGCAAUAUACAGAAUUCUUAGAUAUCUAAAAGGCUCUCCAGGAAAGGGACUCUUCUUCAAAAAGAGUGAAAGUGAUGAGGACAUCUACUUUUUAUUUAUAUUUAGUUGGAAUUUAUUUAUGUUUUAGAUUUUAUUUAUGUAAUUGGGCUUGUGUUGGCCCAAAUCCAUUCUAUUUAGGGUUUUAGUCUUUACUAUUUAAACCUAAUUGCGAUUUAAUUUCAUUAGUUUUGAUGAAUUGAAGAAUAUUUUGGUGGUUUGUUGCUUAUGGCUUCUCCUUCCUCUCCCCCAUGAAUUUCUGCUUCUUCUCCGGUUUCUCCUCCCAUUCUCUUCGGUUCUCCCAUCUUUCUUGCUUCUUUUUUUUAUUUUUUUAAUUCGUCAUGCAUCAAAUUUGGUUUUAGAGCCAAAUUUUGAGUAAUUUUUCA
rnacentral:lncRNA from 1 species